GUAUGAGCCACCAGACCUUGCCUUAUUUUCCAGGUUUUGAGAAGCUACAAGUGAGAUAAUUAUUGCUGCCUGUCUAACCUAUUCUCUUCCACACAUUGCGGAGGUCACUGGAAGAAACAGUAAAUCACAAACUCUUUUUCUUCUAUCCAUAACUUUUCCUGCCUCAUUUAGAAUUACCACUCUUGACAACAGGACCCCCCAUUUUUGUCUAUCACCUUAUUAAAUCUUCUGUCAAAUUGCUUUAUUUAAAACAUUUUGCAAACUUAGAGAAACUCUGGUUAUAACUAAAAAUUGUAAGCUGACAGUCAUUUUAACUGGUUGCUCUAAGAGGGUGGCAGAAUUCCUCUUAAAGAGCAAACUGCUCUUUUGUUGGGAAAGCAUUCAGUGGGCUUUUCUGAGUGUGGGGGUGGACCCCAGGAGAGUCUGGGUAGGAGAGGGUCAGCCUGAAAGAGAGCCAAGUUUCUCUGCACCAUCAAGUCACAGGAAUUUUGGAGUGGGUUCCACCCACCACUGCAGGGCUGAGGAAGGUCAGACCAUGAGAGAGAGACAUUGAAAACAAAAAGCUUUCUUAGAGUCCAGGGAGCAGGCCCCAGAAAUACCCAGUUGAGAGUGCCACCAGUAAGGACUCCUCGAGGGGGAGACUUCAGAAAACUUUAGCAAUAGUGUGACCAGGAUUCAAUUUUAAGUCAGUCCAUGUUUUGUGCUAUCAUUCCUCUACAUUGCUCAUAUAAAACAAGAAAAUACAAUAACACACUGCUAAUCACAAGAGCAUUAUCAUGAAGAAAAGGGUGGUGAGUCCAUAUUUUGAAGCAAAGCAAACUAGAAUGGGCUGGGGCAGCCUGGAAAGGCAGUGGGCAGAUGGAGGGAAGAAAUUGAAAAAGUCAGGAGCAAGAGAAAAAUGGGAAGAACCAAGUCUCAACUCUAGAAUCUGCUGGAAAAUUGAAGAACACGUUAGACUUCCCACAAUUUAGGGGAUGGCUGUUAAAGAAAAGGAUGGCCUCAGAAGGACAGAAGAGUUAAGGACUUUGGGGUUUUAUGGAUAAUCCUUAUAUGAAACAUUACAUGUUUUUUUCACUGCUUAAACAACAGACUUCAGCAAUGAUGUAUGUCAGAGAAAUGGGCACAGAAAGUGAGGAAGGACUGUGUGCCUGCAGUUUGUCCCAUUAAAUUGUGGCAAUGAAGGCAGGAAGCCUCGUGUAUAUUCACAUAUAAUAGUAAUAAGAAAAAGAUCAACAGAAAGUGAUUAUGCAACAUUCAACAUUUUUGCGGUACCCAAAGACUUCAUUGAGUUGAUUCAUCUUAAUAUUGUCAUUUUGAUACAAAAUAUCUUUGCAGGAUAUUUGUAGGCACAGCUACCCCAAAUCCCAUUUGCAUUAAUCUAAAACAGACUUGCAGGCCCAGUUCCAGAAAUUCCUUGGGCAAGUCCAUAACGCACAUUCACCGUCAGGCAUGAAGGAAUAGCUUAUCCAGCAGAAAUAUCGGAGGCCAGGCCCCAGUACAAACUCCUUCAGACUUCUCAGUACUCAAGACAUCUCAAGUUUUUGAAGACAAAACAGAAUUCAUAACUGAAAGAGGAAUAGAGAAAGAGGAAAAAAGUGAUCUGGGACCUGUUGUUUUUCUUGCAUCCCAUUUCUACUCUGCCUGUGAGUGAAGACUGUUGUGGAAAAGUCAACUGGAGAGACCAGGUCAAAGGCCAAGCAGAAGAGGAAUUAGGCUUAAGACUGCACUGAGAGGGAACACUAGACCAUGGUGGCAAAAUGGCCGAAUAGGAGCAGCUCCAGUCUACAGCUCCCAGGGAGAUUAAUGCAAAAGAUGGAGUCUCGACACGUUGCCCAAGCUGUUCUCAAACUCCAGGGCUUGAACAAUCUUCCCACCUUGGCCUCCCAAGGCACUGGAAUUACAGAGACAGUGCUCUGCAGGGAGUCUACCACUGUGAUGGUUAAUACUGAGUGUCAACUUGAUUGGAUUGAAGGAUGCAAAGUAUUGUUCCUGGGUGUGUCUGUGAGGGUGUUGCCAAAGGAGAUUAACAUUUGAGUCAGUGGGCUGGGAAAGGUAGACCCAGCCGUAAUCUAGGUGGGCACCAUCUAAUCAGCUGCCAGCACAGCUAGAAGAUAAAGUAGGCAGAAAAACAUGAAAACAUUAGACUGGCCUAGCCUCUGAGCCUACAUCUUUCUCCCAUGCUGGAUGCUCCCUGCCCUUGAACAUCAGACUCCAAGUUUUUCAGUUUUGGGACUGGGACUCACUAUCCUUGCUCCUCAGCUUGCAGACAGCCUAUUGUGGGACCUUAUGAUCAUGUGAGUUAAUACUUAAUACAUAAAUAUAUAUAUAUACACACACACAUAUACACACACACACACACAUAUAUAUAUACACACACACACACAUAUAUAUAUAUAUCUGUCCCUCUAGAGAACCCUGACUAAUACAACUACUAAUAAAAAUUGGGGCAAAAGACAUUGAUUGGGUAUUGUAAGUAGGUUAUGCUCACAGUAGCAAUAUCUCUUAAGACUUUUUAAAAGACUUCCUAAUAAAAGAGAUUUAAAAUACAGCAAAUAACAAGUUUGUGCAUUUUCAAUUUCAUUAUCAGCACCACCUUCAUUAUCCAAAGUUAUUACUAAAGCUUAUGACACAUACAGCAUGAGCAGCAGACAGAAAAUUUUGAAGUCAGUGCCUCUGUGGUUCACAGGUGCAGAGGCAGACAUCACAGCUGUCAAGCAGUUAUUUACAAGAGAGACACUUCUCCAGUAGUAAUUGACAACCUUCUUUAAGGGAAAAGAGGCUGCAAAACUGUGGAAUAUUAGAACAUGAAGCCAAAGAGGAAAACUGACUUGCCUAAGGCCACUCAACAAAUUAUUCAGCCAGAAUGGGAACUCAUACUUGACUUCAACUUCUUAUUCCUCGUGUUCUUACUCCUACAAGUUUUCCACUACUCAGGGGCUCUUUAGGGUAAAUUAACCAUGAAAACACACACAUGCACACACACAUACAAACUAAAUUCCAUUCAUAUUAAGAUAUGCUUCCUUUUUUCUCUCCCCUAUCCAUGGUAGUAAUAACAAGAAGUAAAAGCUUUUUCAUUAUAAAGUAAACUUCCAUUUUUCUUUCUUGAUACGUUUUCAGGUUUUCCUCUAAAAGUAAUUAAAAGUACUACUCAAGUUGUUCCUAGUUGUCUAGAAUGGCUUAUGCUGCCAUUAGCUUCUACAGCUCUGUCAUUAGAGAAAUGGACUGUACUUCUUCUUCACCUUUCACAUGCGGCCAAAAUUGGGUUACUUUAAAAGGCCAGAUGUCAAAAGCAGAUAAAUCCUUUGUACUGUAAUGAGCAUAAUGAUGAAUAAUGGCACUUAUGUUCAAUAAACGAUGCCCUGCCCAUAAACAGCCUUUCCUCUCAGAUAUUCUAUUUAAUUCAAUGAUAUAUUCCAGGUAAUUUGUGGAACUGAAUGAGAAAUUACCUUAAACAAGAAGACUUUGGAAUUUACUAAAAUAUACUUGUUGAAAAUAAUUAAUGGAAGCAGAGUUUGCAUUAGUAAAAUUAUGGCAUUAAAAUCCGUCAUUGCAUGAAUUCAUCUUCCAAGUGGCCUGCCUUGGAGCAGGUGUACAGAUGAGGGCAUUGUGGCAUGAACAAUGUUGGUAGUAAAAGGCAUGCUAUUGAUAUCAAUGUGCCAUGGUAUGUGGUGCUCUUUGUGUGUUUUAAGAACAGAGACAAUCCAUAUAGUGUUGAUCAUCUCCCACUUAAACUACUGUAAAACCCAACUGAUCUUGCUACCUAUAUUCCAUGGAACUAUCCUAGUAAUCUUUGGAAAACAUAAAUCACAUCACGCCACUAACCCCCACUCAAACUACUAAUGGUUUCCCACCAUAGUUGAAGUAAAAAUCCAAAAUGCUUUCCAUGCUCUAUAAGACUGUAAAAAGACCUAUCUCUAGCCUGCCUCUCUGACAUUAUCGUCUACUAUUCUUUCCCCCUUGCUACUCCACACUAGUUACACUUGCAGUAUUGAUAGUUCUUAAAUAUUCAAAGAUAUUCCUUCCCCCAGGGACCUUGCGGUUUUUUUCUCCACUAUAUCUCAUUUUUGCAUGAAUCACUUCCUCAUCACAUUCAAGAAUCUGCUUAUAUAUCAUCUACAACUUCUAUUCCCAGCAACACAGCAAACUACAUACCUUGAAAAAAAAACUUUCCCAGUGGAGAACAGCUAAAAUUGCUUUAAAAAUGCAUUUUUAGAUACUUUAAUUGUUUAAUUGAGAAGUUUUUUAAAAAAUCGUAGAAACCAAAAAGUUAAAGCAAAAACAUUAAUCUCAAAAGGUAAGAGAAUACUGAAAACGAUGCCUGUCCUGGGACAAUGGCUGAUCGCUGAUAGUCCAGAGCUGCACUGUUCGAUACAGUAGCCACUUGCCACCUGCGACUAUUUAAAUUUUUUAAAAAAUUAUAAAUUUAAUUUCUCAAUUACAUAAGCCACACUUCAAGUGUUCAAUAAUCACAGUGGCUGAUGGAUACCAUGUUGGACAACACAAAUACAGAACGUUUCCAUCAUAUAGAAAGUUGAAUUGGAUGCUCUGAUCUCAAUUUUUAAACAAAACCUAGAGCCCAUUGAAAGAGAAAGUUAGAUUGGAGACCUCCUCCUAUUUCAGGUACACAGAUCCCCCUAAAGAAAAAAACACUACACCUACAAGGAACAUCCGAGCUAGAAAGAAAAUCUUUCCUCCCAAAGUAAAACAGGAAAAACAAUGCAUGUCUAAGACUUGACCCCAAAUUGAAGAAAAAAAUGUUCUUCUAGAAUACAUAACAAUCUGUUCUUCACAUAUGUUUGGAGCCAGAAUUUUCUCUACCUCUAUGAUCCAAUUAAUUUGAAGCUGAGAAAUUUCUUUAAACUAAUGCUGGAAUGGGAGUGUCACCAUGUUCCCAACAGAAGUAAAUGUAAACCAUCUAUUAAGGAACCUACCCUAAAUCCCAGGCUUCAACAAAAUCCCUGCAAAAUGUAUAAAAAUAUAUAUGCUCACAAAAAUAAAAUACGAAAGUAAAUAAGAUACUAAGAGUGAGCAGAAACCACUGAAAGAAGAGUAAAACUCUCAAAUACUGUAGAUAUUAGAAUUAUUGUAUAUAGAAUAUAAUGGUUAUGUAAUAAAUACCCUUAAAAUAAGAGUGUCAAUACUACAUUUAAUAAAUGAUUUACUACAUACAGCCAUUAUGGAAAACAAUACAGAGCUUCCUCAAAAAACUAAAAACAGAACUGCCAUAUGACCCAGCAAUCCCACUGCUGGGCAUAUAUCCAAAAGAAAGGAAAUCAGUAUGUCAGUGAGAUAUCUGUACUACCAUGGUUAUUGUAGCACUAUUCGCAAUAGCCAAAAUAUGGAAUCAACCUGAGUGUCCACCAAUAGAUGAGUAGAUUUUUUUAAUGUGGUAUAUAUAACAAUGAAGUAGUAUUCAGCCAUAAAAAAGAAUGAAAUUCUGUCAUUUGCAGCAACAUGGAUGGAAUGGGAGGUCAUUAUGUUAGUGAAAUGAGCCAGUCACAGAAAGACAAACAUCACAUGUUCUCACUUACAUGUGGAAGCUAAAAAACUGAAUCUCAUGGAGGUAGAGAACAGAAUGAUGAUUACAAGAGGCUGGGAAAGGAAGUGGGGAAGGGGAAUGAAGAUGAGUUGGUUAAAGGGUACAACAAUAUUGUUAGAAGGAAUAAGUUCUAUUAUUUGAUGGUAUAGUAUGGAAAUUAUAGUUAACAAUAAUUUAUUAUAUAUUUCAAAAUAGCUAAAAAAGAAGAAUUAUAAUGUUCCCAACACAAAAAAAAAUGUUCGAGGUGAUGGAUAUCCCAAUUACUCUGAUUUGACUACAUAUUGUACGCAUCUGUCAAAUUAUCACAUGUAUCCCAAAAAACAUGUACAAUUAUGAUAUAUCAAUAAAAAUACAAAUAAGACACUACAAAAAUGAUUAGGUUUUUUUAAAAAGUCUAGAAAUUUAAAAUAUAGUAAAUAAUAUUUUUGAACAGAUUUGAAAUGAUUGAACAGAAAGUUAAUAAUUGGAAAAUAACUCUGAAGAAAUUACACAGAUUAUAGCCUAAGAUAACAAAGUGAUUGAUAGGGGGCUAUAGUAAUAAAUAUAAUUGAAGUUUGGAAAUAAGGUAAUAGAAAUAGACAAUAUUUGAAGGGUAAAUGGCUAAGGAUUUUCCCAAAUUAUGAAAGUCAUAAAUUCCCAGGUUCCAGAAGCCAAACAAAUGCUAGAAGGGUAAAUAAAAAGAAACACACAUGUAGAGAUAUUGUAAUGAACCUGCAGAAUACCAAAGAUAAAACUAUUUUUAAAGUAGACAGUAAAAAGGCAAACCAGCAACAAAGUAAUAUCAAUUAGACUGAUGCCUGACUUCUCAAAAGCAGCAGUGAGGCUAGAAGUAAAUAGAAUAACAACUUCAAGAUUAGACAGUUAUGACCUAGAAUUAUAUACCAAGUGAAAAUGUUGUUUCAAGAAUUAAGGCUGUGUCAAUCAAACUUUAUCUUAGAUCAGGGUCUCUAGAAAUACAGCUUGAAACAGGAAUCUCUAUACAGGUGAUUAACUGACAGACUUCUCUCCUGAGUAAAUUAUAAUGAUGUAAGGGGAACAGGAUAAGGCAGGGGAAGAAACUCAAGAUGUGGUUUCAGCUAUAGUCUAGCCCCAGCCUGACCUCAAGGGAGUUCUGGAGUAUGAUUAUCACCACGUGGUUGUCCCACCUUGAGGCAAAAGGCUUAGGUGUCUUUCAAAGACCCAGGUGUUGUUUAUUAAUUCCUCACAUCAAGUAUCUUCUCCAUCAAGACUUUAACUGGUGUUUUAGAGCCAUGUUAAGACAAAUAACUUAGGCAUUACUUAUAAGCUUUACUAUUUUCAUUGUUCAUUUAAAUUUUUUAUAUAUCAUGGCCUUAAUAUGUAGUCUUUUAAAGUUAUGUUAUAUUUACACUCAAGGCACAUGAUAUUAAUAUAUUCACCACUGAGAUUGUCUGUGCUAAUAUUUUGCUACAUUCCCUUUAGAUUGUCAUUAUUUUCAAAGAAACAACACAUUACAAAUACAGUUACAGUCCCACCUUCCAUCUCUUCCUCAUUCCUGUCUACUCAGAAGUAACCCUUUUUCUGAAAUAAGUAUUAUCAUACUCAUAUAUGUUUAUUUCUUUCCUUUGGAUAAACUUCCUAAAUGUUUGAUACUCUAUAUUCAACUUUUUUUUUUUUUAGCCACAACAUUAUAUCUCUGAGACUUGCUAUGUUGAUACAUUCAAAUCCAAUUCAUUCAUUUUCAUUUUAGGCAUUCUGCUGGACCAACAAACAACAGUGUAUUUUUUCAUCCCCCUGCUGUUUGACAAUAAGAUUUUCUUAGCCUUGUAACAAUUAACAACUCAAAAAUAUACAUCUUUGUAUAUGUCUCCUUGAACAAGAGUUUCUCCCUGAGAAGCUCCCAGAAGAAGAACUGUUGGGCUAUGGAGAAUAUGCAUUGUCAACCUUACUUGGUAGUUCCAACAUAGCUUUCCAAAGUGUUUAUACUUAUUUUCCGUCCCUGCAACCACGCCUUGGAGUUCUUGUUUUGUUUGCAUUAUCACCAACAGUGAAUAUUAUCAAACUUAAUAAAUUUGUAAAUAUAAAAUGUUUUGUCCUUGUUUUAAUUUACAUUUCCUAAGUACUAAAGAAGUUGGACAUCUUUACAUAUAUUUAUUGGCCAUUGUAUUAGUUCAUUUUCACACUGCUAAUAAAGACACACCUGAGCCUGAGUAAUUUAUAAAGAAAAAGAAAUUUAAUGGACUCAUAGUUCCACAUGGCUGGGGAGGUCUCACAAUCAUGGCAGAAGGUGAAUGAGGAGAAAGACAUGUCUUACAUGGCAGCAGACAAGAGAGAGCAUGUGAGGGGAACUGCUGUUUAUAAAAUCAUCAGAUUUCAUGAGACUUAUUCACUAUCAAGGGAACAGCAUGGGAAAAACCCGCCCCAUGAUUCAAUUACCUCCCACAGGCUCCCUCCCAUGACACAUGGGGAUUAUUAGAAUUCAAGGUGAGAUUUGGGUGGGGACACAAAGCCAAACCAUAUCAGCCAUCUAUCUUCCUCUGUCAGUUUACCAUUAUAUAUUUUAACAAUAUUUAUAUCUGAUAUUAUUGAUUUCUAAGAGCAUUUUAUAUAUUCUGCGUAUUAAUAUUUCAUUGGUAAUAUGAGUUGCAAGUGUCUUUUCUCAGUCUAUGACUUUUAUUUUCAUCUCUGUCCCCUUUUAUACAGAAGUUUUAUGUUUCAGUGUAUCAGAAUGUAUUAAUUUUUCCUUUCGUGCUUUCUCUAAGAAUUAUAUCUUAGGAGUAAGUUCAAGAGAGCUAUUGUACAAUAUGGUUGUAUAGUUAAUAACAUUUUGAAAAUCACUGACUAGAUUGUUUUUACCACAAAAAAUGAUAAGUACAUGAUGUAAUGUAUGUGUUAAUUAGCUCAAAUGAGCCAUUCCACAAUGUAUACGUAUUUCAAAACAAUGUUGUACACAAUAAGUAUAUAAAUAUAUGCAAUUUCUAUUGGUCAAUUAAAAAUAUAUUUUACUAAAGGCAUAAAAAUAUUCUCCCAUUUUUUGGUUGAAAGUUUUAGAGCUUUGCUGAUCACAUUUAGGUCUUUAAGCUAUCUGGAAUGUAUUUUUGUGAAUGAUGUGAUAUAGCAAUCUCAUUUUAUCUUGUACUAUAUAAUGGCCAAGUUCCUCAGCAUCAUUUAUUGAUGAUUUUAUCCCCUUUCUCAUAUAAAAAACUCCCAAG
rnacentral:lncRNA from 10 species